UUUCCGUAGGUGAACCUGUGGAAGGAUCAUUAUUUAAUGAAACCCUUCUUGCCUUACUCUGUUGUGCUGGCGCCUUUGGCAAUGUUCACACGGCUCUGGUCACUUGUUUCCUCUGUUCCACCUUUACACCGCUUGUAGAUACGCUGUGUCUCUGAUAUUUGUUAACAAACAAAAAUGUUAGUUGGCAUGUUAUAUAUAAUAAUAAAAUAUACAAAUUUAAACAACGGAACGCUUGGCCCUCGCAACGAUGGAGAACGCAGCAGAUCGGAAGAGCACACC
rnacentral:misc_RNA from 1 species